rnacentral:rRNA from 1 species
UAAGAUAUGGUCGGGCCAUGCGGGAGACUGCGUGGGCGAGCUUACGCUUGGGAAAACCGUUCCGUAGGUGAACCUGCGGAAGGAUCAUUACCGAGAGCGGGCCUUCGGGCCUCCGCCAGUUCUCCGUCCACCAAGUUCUGACAUCCUUCGGCGUGCCCGCCCGGGGGCGCCGGGGGCCAACUGAUGUUCUCUUGCACGCUUUGCGGUCGGAGUGGGCUCUGAUAAUACGAACAAAACUUUCAACAACGGAUCUCUUGGUUCUGGCAACGAUGAAGAACGCAGCAAAAUGCGAUAAUUAAUGUGAAUUGCAGAUUUCAGUGAAUCAUCGAGUUUUUGAACGCACAUUGCGCCCCCUGGUAUUCCGGGGGGCAUGCCUGUCCGAGCGUCGUUGCGACCCUCGAGCCCGGCUCGGUCUUGGGCGCCCGUCUCCCGGGGCGCGCCCGAAAACGGUCGGCGGCCUCCCUGCGGUUCUGCUGGCGUAGCAGUGCUCCUCGCCCAGCGAAGCCCCCGGAGGCCUGCCCCGCCUUGUGGCGGCCGCCACGACACGUUGACCUCGGAUCACGUAGGAAUACCCG